rnacentral:misc_RNA from 1 species
AAAAAAAAAUUACAUUCCUUCUAAAAUAAACAAAAGGUCGCAUGCAUCUCAACAAAUUUCAUCCUACAAAACUUCUGAUAAAGGUCGGUUAAAAUAAUAUGACCUUUCCUCCUAUUCUUGAUCCCUUUCUUUUAUAUUGUCUUGCUAACCCUGAGAUGGCUGAUGAAGGCUGACGAGUUUGCUCAGGUCUCUUUACCCAGAGGCUCCAGCAGCACGCUUAUCAUAUUCACCCUGUUCUUCUUUGGCAAACUCUUCAAUCAAUUCCCGUUGUCUUGGAGUCAAGUUCCUGUGGGGAAAAAAAAAAAUUGACUCCGGCAUUGUGUUCUCUUGCAGAAAUGGCAUUAGCAAAUUACCUAUCCAAUCUAUACCAUUAUGAAAAGUGGCGUUUUAAAACAACUUUGCUUUUAAUUUACUCAUAUGUUGUAACUACACACCAGGCCACAAAUAUGCAUUAAAAUGUGAAAUUAUUUAACUGACAAGAGAAAACCCUACGUUGGAAUGUUGACAGUGAAGUGCACAAAUUGGUCACCGAAAGAGUAAGAGCCACGAGCUUUAACCCCUGUUGAUAAGUAUCAAGACAACUUAUUAUUUACUUGAGUAAAAAUUAAGACAGGCCAUUAAUAGAAUGAAUACGUCCCUAACACAUUAUGAAGCAAGGCAAUUCAAAAUGCCGAGAAAUUAACAAAAUUCAGCAGCACCAAUUCAAGAUUUGAUAUAAAAUUACAAAAGAAUCCCACAUCAGCUAGUAAUGAAAAACAUUCUAAACUUAGUCCAGAAUAUACAUGAUGCAGGGAGAAGAAGAACAAUAAUAGAAAGAACACUCAGCCACAUCAGUUCAAGUAAGAAGUUAGGAAAGAAUUCCUCCCACAGUCCCACUGAAUCCAAAACAUAUUCAAUUCCUAGUCAUUCCUCAAAUUUUUAUGAUUAUCACCUACAAAUAUCAAAUGGCUUAAAACUUAUAAAGCAAACAAAUGCCACAAACACAAACUUAUAACUCUAAAGUAUCUACAGGAAAAAAACCACGAAACUUGAACAGCCCAUAACUGAAGACACAACCUAGAUUAUAUAUAUAUAUAUUAGUGUAUUCUCACCUUUUUUCUUGAGGACCACCUUCUGGCCAGGCUGGGUGCCAGCCCGGACCUUAAGUACAACAUCUCCUGUGAGAGUAGGGACCUGGAUGGUUCCCCCCAAAAUUGCCUGAGUAACACUCAAAACAGCAUCCACAUGAAUGUUAGAACCUUCUCUACGGAAAAUAGGAUCUUCCCGAACCCUGAUUGUUACAAAUAGAUCACCAGAUUGAUUUCUCUCUGGGUCUGCUCCACCACUUCUUGGUACCUUUAUGGUUUCAUUGUCAUCCACUCCUACAGACAGCAUAGAAUCAAACAUCAAGCACAAACCGAAAAAAAAGAACAAAAAAUCUAUCAAAAGAAGGAUCAUGCAGAACAACAGACAAUAAAAAAGCAUCCCCAAGGGUCACCUGAUUAGAGAUAAAUAUUCAAUAUAGAACUUAACACAAUGCUAAAAACUUACUUAUUGUGACAAAGGGUAUGGAUAAAUAGCGGAUAAAUAGCUAGCUUUAAUGCAAGUACUCAUAAGCCACUCAAUCGACAUUUUCAACAAUAAUUAUAAGCCACUCAAGCAAGUAAUCAAAUUCAUUUUUUAACAAUAGCAAGUUUCAUUUAAAGAAUUUUCUCGUGCCAUAACAUCCUUUAAUACACAUGGAUGCACUCACUAAAGUGUAUCAUAUAAGUCAUAACUUGUUAAACUGAGUUUAGAGGAGAAGGGGCAUCCACCUACCAAAAACAUUAGUUGUUAGUUGCACACAUUUUGCACGAAAAAGUAGGCAAUCAUUUAGUAUAUUAUUAAUUAGCUGAAGGUACCUACCAUGAAGAGAAUUCAAAUGUGACAUGUGCUAGGUAAAUGAUAAGCACAGUGCAUAAGUAUUUGUAAGAGCCAAACUAGGAAAGAAAGGCUAAGAUAUUAUAUAAGACCAGAAAAAUUCAACAAGAUGCUUCAAGAUCAAGAAAACAGACCUGGCAUAAUAUCCAAAUUGACAGACUUUGUUCCUCUCACUACUCUACGUCCAUUGCAUGUCUUGCAAAAACUCGAUACAGUUUGCCCAGUUCCACCACACUGAUUACAAGUAUGUUGAAUACUAAAGAAUCCUUUUUGGGUAAACACCAUGCCAGUGCCUUUACAGCGCUUACACAUUUCAGGUUUUACCCCAGGAGGAAUACCUUCUCCAUAACAAGCUUCACAAACUGUAUCAGCUUGAAAUGUGAUAGUUUUGGUGCAUCCCUGAACAGCUUCCAUGAAGGAUAGUUCAACAGCAACCUUGACAUCUUGGCCGCCAAGCUUCUGCUUAAAUAUGUUGCCGAAUAUGUCAUCCAUUCUGAAGAAGCUAUCAAAUGGAUUAUCGAAUCCUGGUCCACCAGGAUGAAAAUCUCCAUUGAGAUUACGUUCAUAUGCAUCAUGGCCAACCUCAUCAUAUUGUGCACGCUUUUCGUCAUCUUUCAAAACCUCAUAAGCCUUCGAAACUUCUUGAAACUUCUUUUCAGCUUCAGGAUCAUCUUUAUUUGUAUCAGGAUGGAGUUUCUUUGCCAGCGCAUAAUAAGCUUUCUUUAUUUCAGAUGAAGUUGCAUUCUUGCUAACUCCAAGUACAUCAUAAUAAUCUCCUGACAUAUAAGCAGAGCCAUGAAUUGACCUCGUUGUGCAAAUAUUGGCAUUCAAAGAUCCCAAUAACAACCAGUUUUUGUGGUUAACUGCACAUUUCCAAACAUGAAACUCAGUAGAAACCAACCACAAUGCUACUUUUGGACGCUAAGAAAAUGAAAUAAAUAAACUAGAAAAACGUGGGCACAAUCAAGUCUUUUCUAGCUUAAUAAUUAACGGAUAAUUUUAAUUUGUUUCCUCAAAGCACUUCACCGAAACAAGCAAAAAUUUCCAAACUGUCGUUCUAUUGCAUUCCUCAGCUUUCUCAAUAGCCAAACACGAUAGUUAGAGAAAGAGAGAGAACAAAAGUACCAUUUUUAGGAGUGUACUUGCCAAUAACCCAACCAGGGUUGCAAACCCCAGUACUCAAUCCCCUACAAUUCCCAUUUAACAGACUCUUAUAUACAGAAUUAGCAGAAUCUUCGAAAAGGUUGGAUGAGGGA